rnacentral:lncRNA from 1 species
UGCGCGGAUCUUUUAGAUCAGCGCCUCUUUAUCUACUUUGUUAUCGAAUGGCGCUCUUCCACCACGUAGAUUGGAUUUUGACGGCAGCCGCUUUCAUUGAUAAGAAAAUGGUGCAUAUUGAAGCAGGAAAAAGGUUUUCUCGGGAAUACGAGAACAGAGCAGCUCAUAAACUUCCAGGCGUGCUUCACGCGAGAUUGUAGUGUACACCAUGUACCAGGCUGGUACUUUCAAUGUUAAUAUUUUCCAACUGUCAACUUUAAUGCAAAACUAAAGGUCGCAGGGUCCGCUGGUCGAGGGAAGUUAUGAAUCACAUAAAGAUUUUUUUACUCUCUUCCUUUGUACGUUUAUCUGUUUGCUUCUGCUUAAAGAAUCACUGCUUGCCUGAACGUAAGCAUGGCAUGGUGCUCCCGUGUGUUGCCAACAUUCUGGCAGGGGCAAGUCGCGUGCCACAGGGAUGUCAGAAGCAUAUUGGGACCUACGC